rnacentral:rRNA from 1 species
CGUUGGAUUACGUCCCUGCCCUUUGUACACACCGCCCGUCGCUACUACCGAUUGAAUGGCUCAGUGAGGCGUCCGGACUGGCCCAGAGAGGUGGGCAACUACCCCUCAGGGCCGGAAAGCUCUCCAAACUCGGUCAUUUAGAGGAAGUAAAAGUCGUAACAAGG